ACACAUGCAAGUCGAGGGGCAGCGGGAUUGAAGCUUGCUUCAAUUGCCGGCGACCGGCGCACGGGUGAGUAACGCGUAUCCAACCUUCCGUACACUCAGGGAUAGCCUUUCGAAAGAAAGAUUAAUACCUGAUGGUAUGAUGAGAUUGCAUGAUAGCAUCAUUAAAGAUUCAUCGGUGUACGAUGGGGAUGCGUUCCAUUAGGUAGUAGGCGGGGUAACGGCCCACCUAGCCUACGAUGGAUAGGGGUUCUGAGAGGAAGGUCCCCCACAUUGGAACUGAGACACGGUCCAAACUCCUACGGGAGGCAGCAGUGAGGAAUAUUGGUCAAUGGACGAGAGUCUGAACCAGCCAAGUAGCGUGAAGGAUGAAGGUCCUACGGAUUGUAAACUUCUUUUAUAAGGGAAUAAAACCUCCCACGUGUGGGAGCUUGUAUGUACCUUAUGAAUAAGCAUCGGCUAACUCCGUGCCAGCAGCCGCGGUAAUACGGAGGAUGCGAGCGUUAUCCGGGUUUAUUGGGUUUAAAGGGAGCGCAGACGGGUCGUUAAGUCAGCUGUGAAAGUUUGGGGCUCAACCUUAAAAUUGCAGUUGAUACUGGCGUCCUUGAGUGCGGUUGAGGUGUGCGGAAUUCGUGGUGUAGCGGUGAAAUGCUUAGAUAUCACGAAGAACUCCGAUUGCGAAGGCAGCACACUAAGCCGUAACUGACGUUCAUGCUCGAAAGUGUGGGUAUCAAACAGGAUUAGAUACCCUGGUAGUCCACACGGUAAACGAUGGAUACUCGCUGUUGGCGAUAUACUGUCAGCGGCUUAGCGAAAGCGUUAAGUAUCCCACCUGGGGAGUACGCCGGCAACGGUGAAACUCAAAGGAAU
rnacentral:rRNA from 1 species